UAAGGGCGCACGGUGGAUGCCUUGGCACUAGAAGCCGAUGAAGGACGUUACUAACGACGAUAUGCUUUGGGGAGCUGUAAGUAAGCUUUGAUCCAGAGAUUUCCGAAUGGGGAAACCCAGCAUGAGUUAUGUCAUGUUAUCGAUAUGUGAAUACAUAGCAUAUCAGAAGGCACACCCGGAGAACUGAAACAUCUUAGUACCCGGAGGAAGAGAAAGAAAAUUCGAUUCCCUUAGUAGCGGCGAGCGAAACGGGAAGAGCCCAAACCAACAAGCUUGCUUGUUGGGGUUGUAGGACACUCUAUACGGAGUUACAAAGGACGACAUUAGACGAAUCAUCUGGAAAGAUGAAUCAAAGAAGGUAAUAAUCCUGUAGUCGAAAAUGUUGUCUCUCUUGAGUGGAUCCUGAGUACGACGGAGCACGUGAAAUUCCGUCGGAAUCUGGGAGGACCAUCUCCUAAGGCUAAAUACUCUCUAGUGACCGAUAGUGAACCAGUACCGUGAGGGAAAGGUGAAAAGCACCCCGGAAGGGGAGUGAAAUAGAACCUGAAACCGUGUGCUUACAAGUAGUCAGAGCCCGUUAAUGGGUGAUGGCGUGCCUUUUGUAGAAUGAACCGGCGAGUUACGAUUUGAUGCAAGGUUAAGCAGUAAAUGUGGAGCCGUAGCGAAAGCGAGUCUGAAUAGGGCGUUUAGUAUUUGGUCGUAGACCCGAAACCAGGUGAUCUACCCUUGGUCAGGUUGAAGUUCAGGUAACACUGAAUGGAGGACCGAACCGACUUACGUUGAAAAGUGAGCGGAUGAACUGAGGGUAGCGGAGAAAUUCCAAUCGAACCUGGAGAUAGCUGGUUCUCUCCGAAAUAGCUUUAGGGCUAGCCUCAAGUGAUGAUUAUUGGAGGUAGAGCACUGUUUGGACGAGGGGCCCCUCUCGGGUUACCGAAUUCAGACAAACUCCGAAUGCCAAUUAAUUUAACUUGGGAGUCAGAACAUGGGUGAUAAGGUCCGUGUUCGAAAGGGAAACAGCCCAGACCACCAGCUAAGGUCCCAAAAUAUAUGUUAAGUGGAAAAGGAUGUGGCGUUGCCCAGACAACUAGGAUGUUGGCUUAGAAGCAGCCAUCAUUUAAAGAGUGCGUAAUAGCUCACUAGUCGAGUGACACUGCGCCGAAAAUGUACCGGGGCUAAACAUAUUACCGAAGCUGUGGAUUGUCCUUUGGACAAUGGUAGGAGAGCGUUCUAAGGGCGUUGAAGCAUGAUCGUAAGGACAUGUGGAGCGCUUAGAAGUGAGAAUGCCGGUGUGAGUAGCGAAAGACGGGUGAGAAUCCCGUCCACCGAUUGACUAAGGUUUCCAGAGGAAGGCUCGUCCGCUCUGGGUUAGUCGGGUCCUAAGCUGAGGCCGACAGGCGUAGGCGAUGGAUAACAGGUUGAUAUUCCUGUACCACCUAUAAUCGUUUUAAUCGAUGGGGGGACGCAGUAGGAUAGGCGAAGCGUGCGAUUGGAUUGCACGUCUAAGCAGUAAGGCUGAGUAUUAGGCAAAUCCGGUACUCGUUAAGGCUGAG
rnacentral:rRNA from 1 species